AAUCCACCACCCUCCGUUUCUUCGAUCUUGACCUAAAUGAUUGGAUCCAUUUUCCCCUCAACUUUCUCCCUUUCUCUUCCCUUCUUCCAGUAGCUUCCUCUGAUGGACUCAUCUACCUUUGGGCAGAAGGUAUUAACAAUAGUCCAAUCUCCCAAACUCUAACCACGACAUCCCUCGUCUCUUGUAACCCACUAACACGCCAAUUCCGGAUCCAUCCUCCUUGUCCACCUGGUUUCGUUUUAGUUGACUCGGUAAACAGAAUCAUGAUUCUAACCGAAUUCGCCAUUUAUUAUUUCUCCGGUGAUAGCAACGAUAGCACACACGGAUGGCAAAAGCUCUCAUCCAACCUCCCUUCUAAACCACGGAGUCCAAUCCUCAUUGAGGAUUCGGCUUACGUGCUUUGCAACGUUG
rnacentral:lncRNA from 1 species